rnacentral:misc_RNA from 1 species
GGAAGGAUCAUUACCGAGUCGGACAAGACCGACCGAGGAGGGGCGACUCUCUUCGGUGGUCUUUGUACGGUCUUCCCUGUGCACUUCGGUAGUCGGGCCCGAUCCCUUCGGGUCGGUUGCUCGGUCUACGUUUUUAUUAAACCUUCGAAUGUUGGAAUGUGUGUGUGGGAGAAUUGGGCAAAAAAUGACAACUUUCAGCAACGGAUCUCUUGGCUCUCGCAUCGAUGAAGGACGCAGCGAAUCGCGAUAUGUAAUGUGAAUUGCAGAUCUUCCGUGAAUCAUCGAAUCUUUGAACGCACCUUGCGCUCCUCGGUAUUCCGAGGAGCAUGCCUGUCUGAGUGUCACGAAUACUCUCGGAUGCUCGGUCCUCUCGGGGAUUGAGAUUCGGAACUUGGGAGUUGCGGGCGGUCUCCCUCGCGGGGGGGGGACUGUCGGCUCUUCUGAAAUGCAUUAGCGAAGGAGGGAAAAGGCUUUCGGCCUCCCUUUCUCCUCGGCGUCGUAAGGAUCGUCGUGGGGGAAAAAAAGGGCUGGUGUGAUAUUCGCUUCCAACACUAGUCGGUGACCGAGUGAUCGGUCGGCGAUCGAUAGUAUGGCCUCAGAUCAGGCAGGGCUACCCGCUGAACUUAAGCAUAUCAAUAAGCGGAGGAAAAGAAACUAACGAGGAUUCCCCUAGUAACUGCGAGUGAAGCGGGAUGAGCUCAAAUUUUGAAUCUGGCGGUCUUCGGGGCCGUCCGAGUUGUAAUCUAGAGAAGCGUCUUCCGCGCUGGACCCGUGUACAAGUCUCCUGGAAGGGAGCAUCGUAGAGGGUGAGAGUCCCGUCUCCGACACGGAUGGAACCCCGGUGCUAUGUGAUGCGCUCUCGACGAGUCGAGUUGUUUGGGAAUGCAGCUCCAAAUGGGUGGUAAACUCCAUCUAAAGCUAAAUAUUGGCGAGAGACCGAUAGCGAACAAGUACCGUGAGGGAAAGAUGAAAAGGACUUUGGAAAGAGAGUCAAACAGUACGUGAAAUUGCUGGAAGGGAAACGCUCCUAGUCAGUCGCGUCUCCUCGGGGAUCAACUCGGCGAUCUCGGUCGCAGGGCGUACUUCCCGGUCGGAGAUGGGUCAGCAUCGAUCUCGGUCGUCGUAGAAGGACGAGAGUGAAUGUGCCACUCCUCGGAGUGUGUUAUAGCCUCUCGUAUGGGAUGCGACGACGUCGGGAUCGAGGAACUCGGCACGACCCCCCCCCUCUCACGGGGGGCGGGGUUCGGGGCUCUCGCUCACGUUGGCGUGCCCAGGAUGUUGGCAAAAUGGCUCGGAUCGACCCGUCUUGAAACACGGACCAAGGAGUCUAACGUGCGUGCGAGUGUUCGGGUGGAAAACCCGUGUGCGAAAUGAAGGUGAAAGUCGAGACCUUCGGUCGGUCGGUCGGAGGGCAUCGACGCCCGGACCCGAGCCUUCGGCGAAGGAUCCGCGGUGGAGCACGUAUGUUGGGACCCGAAAGAUGGUGAACUAUGCCUGAAUAGGGUGAAGCCAGAGGAAACUCUGGUGGAGGCUCGUAGCGAUUCUGACGUGCAAAUCGAUCGUCGAAUUCGGGUAUAGGGGCGAAAGACUAAUCGAACCAUCUAGUAGCUGGUUCCUGC